GCCCCGUUUGGGUCCAAGGAAUUGGAAUCUAUUUAAUGGAGUAGGCUAAUUUAUGUUGGAAUGUGGCAUUCCACAACUUUCCAAAGUUUAGAUAUAAGCCUAUCUUAAAUUCAUGGGGUGGGAGAUGGAAAUUGAUUCUAUAGAUUAUGGUUAUUAGAUGGAAUUCAAUUCUUAUAGCACGCUCUUAGACUCGCUUCUCUAUAGUAGAAGUGCAUCAUACAAGUAUCUCUCCCAUAUCACCAACUAUAAUAUACAACUAUAUUCCACAUACAAUUAUAUUAGCUUAAUUAAUUUGUGUCUAAAUUAUGAUUAUUAGGAUGGAAUUCAAUUCCAAUGAUCCAAACGGGGCCUA
rnacentral:lncRNA from 1 species